rnacentral:rRNA from 1 species
UACGUAGGGCGCAAGCGUUAUCCGGAAUUAUUGGGCGUAAAGAGCUCGUAGGCGGUUUGUCGCGUCUGCCGUGAAAGUCCGGGGCUCAACUCCGGAUCUGCGGUGGGUACGGGCAGACUAGAGUGAUGUAGGGGAGACUGGAAUUCCUGGUGUAGCGGUGGAAUGCGCAGAUAUCAGGAAGAACACCCGUGGCGAAGGCGGCUCUCUGGAACGCAACUGACGCUGAGACGCGAAAGCGUGGGGAGCAAACAGG